rnacentral:lncRNA from 1 species
AACAACAACAACAACAACAACAACAACAACAACAACAACAACAACAACAACAACAACAACAGCAGCAACAACCGUCGAGCCAGGUCUCCUUCCAACAGCCUCAGCAACAAUAUCCAUCAGGCCAGGGCUCCUUCCAGCCAUCUCAGCAAAACCCACAGGCCCAGAGCUCUGUCCAACAUCAACAACUACCCCAAUUUGAGGAAAUAAGGAACCUAGCACUGCAGACGCUACCAGCAGUGUGCAAUGUCUACAUCCCUCCAUAUUGCUCGACCACCAUUGCGCCAUUUGGCAUCUUCGGUACUAACUGAGAAGAGAAGAACUCUAGUACUAGAUAUAUGAAACACUGUUUUCUUAGUCCAUGGUUUGGUCAUUGUAGCGGUGAGAAAAUAAAGUGACAUGCACUAUCAUGUAAGAACCCGAACUAUACUAGUUCAAACUUGGGAAUAAAAGACAAACACAGGUCUUGUCUACAUAUGGUUGUUUCUUUGUGUUCCAUUCAUGUGCCCGUUCACAAGUUCACCCCUAAUUAUAUAUAUUAUGCAUUACGUAGAUAUUUAUGUUGCAUUAAUUUACAGAUAAUAAAAUGAGUCUGAAACUUGAAUUAAAUUGAAGUAUUUUCUUGGACUUUCAAAUUGACUAUUAUUAAAGUAGUAAGGACUAUCCACAUCCUUGGCUCGCCCUUGAUCAAUUAAUUCCAGAGAAGCAUUCAAUUCAUCAAUCAAUUACAUUGAUUUUUGUGGCUCGUACUUCUCCUCAACAUGAGUAUAUUCAUUGCAGCUACUUCGAAUCGGCAUGAAUGAGGUACUGGUGCCUGGAGCAGUGCUAGCUGAUUGCCUCUAAUGUGAAGGGGCGUGGGCACAGGAGAGGUGUUUUGGGUGGGCCAGGCGAGUAAGAAGCGGGCCCAUCAGCGGUCCGGACGCCCGCAAAGCCCCGUAGUUUGUUUUCGGUUUACAGGAAAAAAACACAUCCGGACCGGCCUGCGGGCCAAUAUAGGACCGUACGUAUUGGAUGGCAAAACAUGUUCGGAUGGUUGCGAGCAGUUUGAGGGAUAGCUUUAGAGAUAGCCCUUACUUGACCCCUCGUUCCGAAAACAAUUAUGACGAUAGAUUUGCCUCGGUUCAGAAAUAUGUCAGGUUUAACAAAGUUUAUUGGAAUUUUCUUUAUCAUAUCUACAGUACCAUACAAAUACACCAUAGAAAAAGAAGCAUAUUUCAUGAUUCACCAUGAAUUGGCCAGGUAAAUGUUGGGUCUGGAGACUCUAUUCUCUUUUGGCAUGAGUUGCCUAGGUCUCAAAAGUUUCAUGAACCGUUCUCUUUUGCCAUUAAGAAAAAGCCCUCUUUGGCUGAUUUUAUUCAUAGUGAUGAUCUGACUCUCCAUUUUCAUAGGCAUACCACCCUGCAAGCUCUUGCUCAAUUCAUUGACAUCAUUGACUUAGUUCAUAAAAAAAUCAACAAAGGAAUAAAAUAAUAUCACGAAGAUACCAAUUACACCCGUCCUCUCUAUCAACAAGCUAGAUGUCCAAAGACAUCAAGGAUACACACAGCUGGAAAAAAUAAUAGAAGAAAAAAGAUCCCGCCAUGGUGAUCGAUCACUAGCAUCUGUAGCACUCUAACCACCACCAAAGACAACACCCGGAUUACCAAAAAAAUUCUCCAGAAACAACCCCCCAAGAAGGAAACAAUGCACAAGCGUUGUCAUUACCCGAUUGAAGAUCGUGGGUUUUGACCCUAGAAAAAUUUCAAGCUCACCCAAAAACAUUGCCUUCAUCAAGGCCAUUGGCAGGUACAACCAAUAAAGGCUAGACCUUGGAUUUUCACCCUAGGAAUUGAGACUCAGUACUCGAGGAGUACCACCAAAAAUGCAGUCCUCCAGUGAUGGUGCCCCCGCUUGCCGAGGCCGCUAUUUCAAGUCACCAAACACAUGGCGCACAUUCUUCAACGCAUCAAUUACACCCUUCCAGCAAAGCUUCAAGACCUCGAAUUGCAGUCGCGAUGACUUUCUCCACCUCUAUCAAUGCCUUAAGAAUCUUGACUUAGACAUGUCCCAUGACACCAAUAAGAAAUUGAAGCUUCUUGUCGCGCCCUCUUGAGGUCGUGUUGGCUAAUAAUAUGAGCGUGCGCCACCGGAGCCUUUCUGAUCUAGAUAUCCAGGGGCGACAUACACAAAUCUGUAUAGAUAUCCGAUGGGAAAGAGCAAAAUUGGUCACCGGCUAGAUCUAAGAGGUUUGGUCACCGGCUAGAUCUAAGAGGUCGACAUCCGGCAGAAAGGCAACUUGGCGGAAGAACAGUACUAGGGCCAAACCACCAUUAUUACGCUGAGGCUAUCUGUGGUGUCCAAGGCCCAAUGCACCACAUGUCUUCAAAUUGGCCACCAGUAGUAGCCCUUAGAAUAGACAGGGCCAGUUUGCAAAUUUUAAAACAUAGGUUUUUAGCACGCAUGAAAAACAUAAUACGUAUCUUUCCACACAUAAUGAACUAUAGGUACCACCCAAAAAAACAUAAUGAACUAUAGGUUGUCAUCAGAACUCAUGCCAUCCCACAGCCUCCCUCCGACCCUGCCAACAUUAUUGCAGCUGCACUCGCAAGCGUUACCGUGGAUGAUCAUUUGCAUGAUUUCACGUAAAACAAAAUAAGAGCUACAAAUGAAUAAAAGCUACACAUACCUUGGCAUACACACACAUUGCAAGCCAUACUAUGCUGCUAAGUGUUAAUAACUUGUACAACAUAUACAACAGUUAAGACAAGUAAAAGCAAUUUGAUGGGUCAUGUCUAUCAAAGCAAGCUACAUUACUACUUUAAUCUAUCUUAAAUGGGUCACACAUGAUUAUAAUCUUUUUUGUGUGCAACUAAAGCUUAUCUAGUUUACACGUAACAACUUGUACAACAUUACAAAGUUGAUGUUUGCUAAUAACUUCUAGAACACUACGGCACUUGACAUGUAAAAGGAAUUUGAUGAGUCAUGGCCUACUAAAGCAAGUUACAUUACUAGUCUCCUCUAUCUUAACAGGCCACAGAAGAUUACAAACUAGGUUUCGUGCAUGCAAUGCUUAUCUAGUUUACACCUAACAACUUGCAUAACAUUACAAACUUAGUUUGAGAAAAUUAGGUAAUCUAGAUUAGUGUUUGAGUUGUAAAGUGAAUAAGAUGAGUCAUGUGUGUUAUCAUAGAUUUUUGGUGGUGGAAUGAUAGUGCCACCAAACACAACAUAUCAAAUUAUGAUUUCAGGAAGCUUCCAAGCACUUUCUUGGCAAGCAAAUGCCAACUGUGAAGGUGAUUAUGCCAUGGUAGCUAUAAAUAGGACUGUAGCAUGAUGAUCAUCCUUCCUCAUCCAUCAUUCUCGUAAGUAGAGCGCACCAUUCAAGCCAAGCAAGCAGUGGUCAAUACAAAUCCACCAUGAAGACCUUUCUCAUCCUUGCCCUCCUUGCUAUCGCGGCGACCACCGCCACAACUGCAGUUAGAGUUCCAGUGCCACAAUUGUAGCCGCAAAAUCCAUCUCAACAACGACCACAAUAGUAAUUUCCGUUGGUGCAACAACAACAAUUUCCAGGGCAGCAACAACCAUUCCCACCACAACAGCCAUAUCCGCAGCCGCAACCGUUUCUGUCACAACAACCAUAUUCGCAACCGUAACCAUUUCCGCCACAACUACCAUAUCCACAAGCGCAACCAUUUCCAACACAACAACCAUAUCCACAACCGCAACCACAGUAUCCGCAACCACAACAACCAAUUUCGCAGCAGCAGCAGCAGCAACAACAACAACAACAACAACAACAACAACAAAUCCUUCAACAAAUUCUGCAACAACAAAUGAUUCCAUGCAGGGAUGUCGUCUUGCAACAACACAACAUUGCAUAUGCAAGCUCACAAGUAUUGCAACAAAGUAGUUACCAACUGUUGCAACAAUUAUGUUGUCAGCAGCUGUGGCAGAUCCCCGAGCAGUCGCGGCGCCAAGCCAUCCACAGUGUCGUUCAUGCUAUUAUUUUCCAUCAUCAUCAACAACAACAACCGUCGAGCCAGGUCUCCUACCAGCAGCCUCAACAACAAUAUCCAUCAAGCCAGGGCUCCUUCUAGCCAUCUCAGCUAAACCCACAGGCCCAGGGCUCUGUCCAGCCUCAACAACUGCCCCGGUUCAAGGAAAUAAGUAACCUAGCGCUGCAGAUGCUGCCAGCAAUGUGCAAUGUCUACAUCCCUCCAUAUUGCUUGAGCACCAUUGUGCCAUUUGGCAUCUUCGGUACUAACUAAUAAGAGAAGAACUCUAGUACUAGACAUAUGAAACACCGUUUUCUUAGUCCAUGGUUUGGUCGUUGUAGCGGUGAAAAAAUAAAGUGACAUGCACUAUCAUGUAAGAACCCGAACUAUACUAGUUCAAACUUGGGAAUAAAAGACAAACACAGGUCUUGUCUGCAUAUGGUUGUAUGUUUGAGUUCCAUUCAUGUGCCCGUUCACAAGUUCACCCCUAUUUAUAUACAUUAUGCA